ACACGUGGGUAACCUGCCUGUAAGACUGGGAUAACUCCGGGAAACCGGGGCUAAUACCGGAUAACUUCUUUCCUCGCAUGAGGAAAGAUUGAAAGAUGGCUUCGGCUAUCACUUACAGAUGGACCCGCGGCGCAUUAGCUAGUUGGUGAGGUAACGGCUCACCAAGGCGACGAUGCGUAGCCGACCUGAGAGGGUGAUCGGCCACACUGGGACUGAGACACGGCCCAGACUCCUACGGGAGGCAGCAGUAGGGAAUCUUCCGCAAUGGACGAAAGUCUGACGGAGCAACGCCGCGUGAGUGAUGAAGGUUUUCGGAUCGUAAAACUCUGUUGUUAGGGAAGAACAAGUAUCGUUCGAAUAGGGCGGUACCUUGACGGUACCUAACCAGAAAGCCACGGCUAACUACGUGCCAGCAGCCGCGGUAAUACGUAGGUGGCAAGCGUUGUCCGGAAUUAUUGGGCGUAAAGCGCGCGCAGGCGGUUUCUUAAGUCUGAUGUGAAAGCCCACGGCUCAACCGUGGAGGGUCAUUGGAAACUGGGAGACUUGAGUGCAGAAGAGGAGAGUGGAAUUCCACGUGUAGCGGUGAAAUGCGUAGAGAUGUGGAGGAACACCAGUGGCGAAGGCGACUCUCUGGUCUGUAACUGACGCUGAGGCGCGAAAGCGUGGGGAGCGAACAGGAUUAGAUACCCUGGUAGUCCACGCCGUAAACGAUGAGUGCUAAGUGUUAGAGGGUUUCCGCCCUUUAGUGCUGCAGCUAACGCAUUAAGCACUCCGCCUGGGGAGUACGGCCGCAAGGCUGAAACUCAAAGGAAUUGACGGGGGCCCGCACAAGCGGUGGAGCAUGUGGUUUAAUUCGAAGCAACGCGAAGAACCUUACCAGGUCUUGACAUCCUCUGACAACCCUAGAGAUAGGGCGUUCCCCUUCGGGGGACAGAGUGACAGGUGGUGCAUGGUUGUCGUCAGCUCGUGUCGUGAGAUGUUGGGUUAAGUCCCGCAACGAGCGCAACCCUUGACCUUAGUUGCCAGCAUUCAGUUGGGCACUCUAAGGUGACUGCCGGUGACAAACCGGAGGAAGGUGGGGAUGACGUCAAAUCAUCAUGCCCCUUAUGACCUGGGCUACACACGUGCUACAAUGGAUGGUACAAAGGGCUGCGAGACCGCGAGGUUAAGCCAAUCCCAUAAAACCAUUCUCAGUUCGGAUUGCAGGCUGCAACUCGCCUGCAUGAAGCCGGAAUCGCUA
rnacentral:rRNA from 1 species